rnacentral:tRNA from 1 species
GAAGGUAUGGCUCAGUGGUAGAGUGCGUGCUUAGCAUGCUUGUGGUCCUGGGUUCAAUCCCCAGGAUCUCCA